rnacentral:lncRNA from 1 species
UGCGUGCGGCGGAUCUGCGGGUGGUGGUGGUCGUGGCCUUGCAUCGACCAUGGCCGCUUCCUCCUCUCCGUCGGCCACGACGACGCUACUCCACCCAGCGGACUCGGACGAUAUCAUGGUGAGUACUGAGUAGUGCGGCACCAGUUGGAGCGGCAGAGCACACCUGCGCAUCGUCACCACCAAGAACACGGCGGGGCAGCAGUCGAGCGGAUCCGCUUGCUCUCUGACGUCGUCCACGCCUAGUAGUCCAUGCUUGCCACCGCGCACAACUGCCUCGCCACCAAGGACGCGCGUCUGAUCCGUCGUCCAGAUGCAGUAUAGUACGCCAUUACCUACGACACCAUCAAGAACCACAGGUGCGUGUGCGUCAACCGGCCAACUCGCAUAGUGAUUACACUCCCCAGUCCCCACGCCUGUCGAUGUGCCUGCUGGUAUGGUCGGGUCGCCUUGGUCCUCUAGAAAAUUUGAUCUUGCUCUUCUUGCCUUGAUUGUUGGGGGUAGUGAUUGUUCAUAGCUGUGACUAGCGAAUCUUGUGGAAGAUUCCUGGUGGUAGUUAGGCCUGUAGAUGUGGAGUUUCACUGUUGUUUAUCUUGCAGUAUAUGAAGAUUUAGAGAUGCCAAAUGUAGAGUGUCCGUUGUGUAAGCUCUAAGGCUACUGUUACAACUUACAACAAUCUUUGGGAUACCAACGUCUGUAGUGGUACUUGUUUCUCGUGGUUGUCAUCAUAGCUAGCCUCUCCGGAUUGGGACAAUGGAAGAAUUAACCAUUGUAGUUGCCUUAAUAGUUCAGCUUCAGUUGAUUGCAGUUUUGAUAUUCAUAUAGCAUUUUACUAGCAGAACACGUGGCAUUGUUUAUUUACUUCUGAGUUUUCAUCCAAUCCCAGCAGACUAAGUUAUCUUUGGUGUCGAUACCGUGGAUAAAAUUAUGGAAACUUGUGCUUGAUUCUGUGCUAAAUUUUCAUGUUACCGGCGUGCCAAGAAUUAGCCUGCAAUUUCACUGUUGUGCAAGUUGUAAAAAAGUACCUACUACACUGUGAUUUGGUAUGGUGUUUGUCUUUUUUGCGAAUGUACCAUGAUCCAAUUAAAUUAACUUCGUUUGUCUUUCAUGUUUUAACGAAUACUAGUGGGUCAGUGACAAGAAAGCUCCAGACUCCUUGAAGUAUUUCGGUAGGAUAACUGAAUAAGAUGACAGGGUUCUGCAGUCCCUAUCUGUACAUUUACUUCGUGAAUGUAAUACUGCGAUUGGCUAUGCCUAAUAUAAGCUAUCCUUGCACUAAAAAAAUUAGGCCUGUUUUGUGCACCUUAAUAUAACAUUGACAUUGAGGUCACUGAAAGCACCUUACUCAACGCGGCCCCGAAAUCAGCCGCCAACGGGCAUGCAAAGAGAAGGUGACUCGCCAACCCUAGUGGGGCGUGGCAGAGCAUGCCACUGUUCCAUGCUAUAGAAUUGAGGUUGUAAUAAAAAAAGGUUAAUUUGCUUCUGAAUCAUGCUUUACAUUCUUUUGCAACCAAUCACUAGCAGUCUUGUGUCAGAUGUGUUGCUUGUUGGUUCAUGUAGACAUGCUAAUGAAAGGCUAAUAGAAAAAGAUAGAAAAAGACAGUGUUUCGGCUUGAUUGUCUUGUGUAGACUAAAAUUAAUGAGUAAAGAAAUUUUGAUUUUGCUUCGAGAUCCUUUCCUUGAGUUUGUUCCAGGCAUAAUGUUUUGUUCCUAUUUUAAUUGCAAUGAGUGACUUCCAGAGGCAACUAUUCCAUCUGAUGUUGAUGUGCAACAUCUUGAGUACCUUGAUUGGUUAUCCUACUGAUCCAAAUCUAUUCACAAGUAGUAGAUGGAUGCUUUAUAAUAUAAAGCGGGGGGAAACCCUUUAUCGUCAAAUCUAUUAUGACAAGUAGUAGAUGUAAUAAUUAGUUCUAGGAGAGUAUGCAUGUUAAAUUUGCUAUAUUUCAUUCUGUAAUACAAGCUGUAAUUGGUUGAUUAACCAUGUUCUGGAUGCAGAUAAUUUUGAGAUAGGAUAAUUCUUUCCGUGUGCAUAUAGGCUUUAUGUGAAUAAUCUCUGUAUCUUCAGUUCUCCUAUUUGGCUGAGUCCUCUAUGAUAAUUUUGAUUUAACUAAUUUAUCAGUCUUCUCAUGAGAGAAGAUUUGUACUCCCUCCGUCCAAAAAUACUUGUCAUUGAAAUGAAUGUAUCUAGAUGUAUUUUAGUUCAAAAUACAUUCAUUUUCAUCCAUUUUGAUGACAAAGUAAUUCCGGACGGAUGGAGUAUUUGGUUCAGCCAAAAAUUCUUACAUAUAUGAGAGAUUUAUUUACAUUUUAGGUAGCUCAGGUACCCUGAUAAUAGCAGGCUAAUAUUAUGGUGAUAUUAAUACAUUGGCAAAUUUGAACAGAACACGGUGUCAGGAUCUUUGACAGAACAGAGUUUUGCUGACAUGGUGUUUGAGGCUAUAAUUGAUGAGGUUUAACCCUGGAGAGCUGCAGGCUGCUUGUCUUCUUUCUGAAUCGCGUUCCUGCUAUUUUCUCCGGGCUGACCCUGUAAAGAAAUGAGGUUUAAUCGUGUAUUUAUGUCGGUAGUGAGGCUAUCAGCUUGCUCUUGGAGGCCAUGUAUAGAGUCCCAUCUAUGUUUUCUUGCGAGCUGACCCUGUAAAUUCCAGUUUUGUGUUUCUUAGAACCGAUACUGUAAAUUCUUCAGUGUAUUUUAAUGAAGUUUGGCAACUGUCCCUUUGAGAUAACAGUGUUCUUAUUAAAGAAUAGGUGUUUCCUUGAAAAAAAAAGAAGCAAUGUUGUGUUCAU